rnacentral:rRNA from 1 species
AACAAACGCUGGCGGUGUGCCUAAUACAUGCAAGUCGAACGGGGAAAGCUUUCGGGUGAGUACUAGUGGCGCACGGGUGAGUAACGCGUGGAUAAUCUGCCUUAGAGUGGGGGAUAACUAGUCGAAAGAUUAGCUAAUACCGCAUAAGACCACAAGAACUGCGGUUCAAGGGGUCAAAGGUUUUUCGCUCUAAGAUGAGUCCGCGUAAGAUUAGCUAGUUGGUAGGGUAACGGCCUACCAAGGCGACGAUCUUUAACUGGUCUGAGAGGAUGAUCAGUCACACUGGAACUGAGACACGGUCCAGACUCCUACGGGAGGCAGCAGUAGGGAAUAUUGCACAAUGGAGGAAACUCUGAUGCAGCGACGCCGCGUGAGUGAUGAAGGCCUUCGGGUCGUAAAGCUCUGUCGCAGGGGAAUAACACAAUGAAGGUACCCUGUAAGAAAGGAUCGGCUAACUUCGUGCCAGCAGCCGCUGUAACAC